rnacentral:rRNA from 1 species
CCUACGGGUGGCUGCAGUGAGGAAUAUUGGUCAAUGGGCGGAAGCCUGAACCAGCCAAGUAGCGUGCAGGAUGACGGCCCUACGGGUUGUAAACUGCUUUUAUACGGGAAUAACGCGCCUUACGUGUAGGGCUUUGCAUGUACCGUAUGAAUAAGGACCGGCUAAUUCCGUGCCAGCAGCCGCGGUAAUACGGAAGGUCCGGGCGUUAUCCGGAUUUAUUGGGUUUAAAGGGAGCGUAGGCCGCAUGUCAAGCGUGCUGUGAAAUGUCCGGGCUCAACCCGGGCCUUGAAGCGCGAACUGGCGUGCUUGAGUCCGCGGAAAGCAGGCGGAAUUCGUCGUGUAGCGGUGAAAUGCUUAGAUAUGACGAAGAACCCCGAUUGCGAAGGCAGCUCUCUGGUCUGUAACUGACGCUGAGGUUCGAAAGCGUGGGUAGCAAACAGGAUUAGAUACCCCAGUAGUC